rnacentral:rRNA from 1 species
AACGCGAAGAACCUUACCCAGACUUGACAUCCCUGAAAUCCCGUAGAGAUAUGGGAGUGCUCGCAAGAGAAUCGGGAGACAGGUGCUGCAUGGCUGUCGUCAGCUCGUGUCGUGAGAUGUUGGGUUAAGUCCCGCAACGAGCGCAACCCUCGCCUUCAGUUGCCAUCAUUCAGUUGGGCACUCUGGAGGGACUGCCGGUGUCAAGCCGGAGGAAGGUGGGGAUGACGUCAAGUCCUCAUGGCCUUUAUGUCUGGGGCUACACACGUGCUACAAUGGCCGGUACAAAGGGCAGCAAAAGCGCGAGCUCGAGCCAAUCCCAGAAAACCGGUCCCAGUUCGGAUCGAAGUCUGCAACUCGACUUCGUGAAGUCGGAAUCGCUAGUAAUCGCGGAUCAGAACGCCGCGGUGAAUACGUUCCCGGGCCUUGUACACACCGAUAGC